rnacentral:rRNA from 1 species
UACAGAGGUCCCAAGCGUUGUUCGGAUUCAUUGGGCGUAAAGGGUGCGUAGGCGGGUCUUUAAGUCAGGGGUGAAAUCCUGGAGCUCAACUCCAGAACUGCCCUUUGAUACUGAGGAUCUUGAGUUCGGGAGAGGUGAGUGGAAACUGCGAGUGUAGAGGUGAAAUUCGUAGAUAUUCGCAAGAACACCAGUGGCGAAGGCGGCUCACCUGGCCCGAUACUGACGCUGAGGCACGAAAGCGUGGGGAGCAAACAGGG